rnacentral:rRNA from 1 species
AACGAACGCUGGCGGCAUGCCUAACACAUGCAAGUCGAACGAGACCUUCGGGUCUAGUGGCGCACGGGUGCGUAACGCGUGGGAACCUGCCCUUAGGUUCGGAAUAACUCCCCGAAAGGGGUGCUAAUACCGGAUAAUGUCUUCGGACCAAAGAUUUAUCGCCUUUGGAUGGGCCCGCGUUGGAUUAGCUAGUUGGUAGGGUAAAAGCCUACCAAGGCGACGAUCCAUAGCUGGUCUGAGAGGAUGAUCAGCCACACUGGGACUGAGACACGGCCCAGACGGGUACGGGAGCAAGAGGGGUAGAAUACUGAGAGCGGAGCGAAACGCGGAUCAAGCAGUGCGGAGAGAGGGAAGAAGUCAUUAGGGUGGUAAAGCUAUUUGCCAGGGGAUUAAAACCAAAGGACGGGGGGAAGAAGCUACGGCGAAGGCAGCACCGGCAGCCGCGGUAAGAGUGGAAGAGCACACGUAUGAAC